rnacentral:sRNA from 1 species
AUUGGAAGAAACAAACAUCACGUGCACACAUAAUGGCACACGUAAGUCACGA